UUUCUGAAUCAAAGCUCCAAAUAACCGUAGGAACAGGCAUAAAAACCAAGACACCAAGAAUUUUUUUUGUUUGGGUUGUAUUAUCCAUGACAUGGCCAAUGAUUUAUUUAUUUACAAUAUUUAUAUCCUGCCUUUCUCUACCCCGAGGGGGACUCAAAGCAAGGACUCAAUGAUCAUCUUGGCUGAAGAAUUCUAGGAGUUGCACUCCAAAUUAGCUCUUCUGAGGUCUGAGAACUUCAUUCUGGGAAUCUAUGCUUCUUGUAGGUUUAAGAAUUCAAAAACUACUUGGUCCAGCAAAAUAACAUUAUAGAUACCUUCCAUGUUCCAGGUGCAGGAGUUCAUUGGCUUUGUUUUCCUUUGGAACAGAGAUAAUAAUCUAUAUAAUAGUGGAUAUCCUUACAAGCAUAAAAGAAACACAGAUUUCCUCCCAUUGGUAAUUUUGCAAGAUCAGCUCUGGUGAGAGAAUGGCUCAACCAAAGGUGACCCUCAUGAGUUUUGUGGAUGCUGUCUUCCUAAUGACCUAUCAGCUAGACCAGGCCUACUUUUAUACAAAAGGAUACAGCCACCAGAUGCUGGAAAGCAGUAUUGGCAGCCUCCCAACCAUUCCACCUGAGGCCUCCAUCCUGCCCUGUUUCACUUGAACAAGCCUAAUGUUCCCAGAAGCAGCAGGUGUUAAUCAAUGCAAAGGGAUUCUGAAAGCUGAAGCCCAAAAUACCCAGAAGACCAGAAUUUGAGAAAAACUGAUCUACACUACUAAUGAGCCUACUCCGCCUGAGAUUGAGCCGGAAGAGAGAGCCUCUUCCGCUUCCCUUCCAGCCCAGCCUCGUAAAGCUCAAGUGUGAAAGCAUCACUAGAGAGAGCAUCAGGAUGUCUGCUCAGGAAGGGAAGGGGUCCCUCCGCAAGUCAAAGCACAUGACUGUAAAGACAUCUUUGAAUAAUCCCUAUGCCCUCAAGUGGCGCUCUAUGGAAGGAGGAGAUAUGCACUUCAUAUUGAACGCUUUGGAAGAUGUUCUGAAGCGCCUUGCUUUCAAAAAGGUAGAGCUUCGGAGACGGAAGAAACCCUUCCCUGGGCAAAAACAAAAGAAGGAACAACACUGUGCCAACACAGGUGAGCUUCAAGACAAGAAUGAAAGCAAAGAGGUUCAGCUACAUGGCUGGACCAGCGAGGAAAUCAGAAAUCAGCUUGCCAUUGGGAUUAAUGAAGUCACUCGAGCCUUAGAAAAAAAUGAACUACUUCUUGUACUAGUGUGUAAAUCUGCCUCACCUACACUGCUCACAUCUCACUUGAUUCCGCUGAGUGUGAGCCGAGCUGUUCCCACUGGCCAAGUCCCACGUUUUAGUGAAAGACUAGCACCGGUUCUUGGCUUAACAUCUGUCCUUGCACUUGGAUUUAAAAGGAGCACGGAUGCCUUUGCUGAGGUGGUUGAAAAGAUCAUACCACGAAUAUCAAGUCUGGAGGUGCCAUGGAUUCACCAUGGGAUAGAAGAACCCACAGGGAGUGAGGAAAGUAUCAUUGUAAUGGACUCACCAGCAGUUGAGCCCAUGGAGCAAGAAGACUGCUCUUCUCCCAAACAGAAACGGAAGAGAUCAGAUAGCAGAAAGCUUGUCCCUCCUAAGGUCGUUCUGCAAGAGCUCAAGGUUAAAAAAAUAGUUCCCAAUCCAAAUAGGAGAAGGAAGCUCCCUAAGACUAAAAAACGGAUUUCGAAGUAACUGAUUGUGUCCAUUUGGUUCCUCCAUUCUCUGUAUGCUAUCACUGUAUGUUUACAUAAAUUACAUAAUACUUUUUGUCAAAAAAUGUAAAGCUUCUUACUCCUUAAUUUAAAGGGUCUUGAGCAGAUUUCUAAGUGAAAAAACAGCAAUGGAAAAGAUGAUGUACAGUUCUUUUAUAUUAAAUAUCUACCUAUAACACGUA